rnacentral:rRNA from 1 species
GACGAACGCUGGCGGCGUGCUUAACACAUGCAAGUCACGGGGGCUCGCAAGGGCAACCGGCGAACGGGUGCGUAACACGUGAGCAACUUACCGAUUUGUGGGGGAUAGCCGGCCCAACGGCCGGGUAAUACCGCAUACGCUCUUUGGGUGGAGUCACCUGAAGAGGAAACCUCCGGGGCAAGUCGGGGGCGUCGCGGCCGUA